rnacentral:rRNA from 1 species
GUCUUAUUUCUAGAGAUAGAAAGUUACUUCGGUACAUCGGUGACAGGUGGUGCAUGGUUGUCGUCAGCUCGUGUCGUGAGAUGUUGGGUUAAGUCCCGCAACGAGCGCAACCCCUAUUGUUAGUUGCCAUCAUUCAGUUGGGCACUCUAGCGAGACUGCCGGUAAUAAACCGGAGGAAGGUGGGGAUGACGUCAAAUCAUCAUGCCCCUUAUGACCUGGGCUACACACGUGCUACAAUGGUUGGUACAACGAGUUGCGAGUCGGUGACGGCGAGCUAAUCUCUUAAAGCCAAUCUCAGUUCGGAUUGUAGGCUGCAACUCGCCUACAUGAAGUCGGAAUCGCUAGUAAUCGCGGAUCAGCACGCCGCGGUGAAUACGUUCCCGGGCCUU